UCACCACCUCAAAUCAGGCAGGAAGACCCGCUCAACUUAAGCAUAUCAAUCAGCGGAGGAAAAGAAACUAACCAGGAUUCCCCUAGUAGCGGCGAGCGAAGCGGGAGGUAGCUCACGCCUGUAAUCUCACGUCUUGUUAGGCGUGCGAGUUGUGGUGUAUGGAGCGCGGCAUCUGCCAUAAGCCAUCGCGUUGUGCGUGUGCAAGUUCUUUAUUUCAUUUUGGAAUGAGACGCCAGAGAGGGUGACAGCCCCGUGGCAUGCGUACUUCUUGGAUGGCCGUUUGUGUUGCCGUGUUCCGCGAGUCGGGUUGUUUGGGAAUGCAGCCCUAAUCUGGGUGGUAAACACCAUCGAAGGCUAAAUAUCUGCGAGAGACCGAUAGCGAACAAGUACCGUGAGGGAAAGAUGAAAAGCACUUUGAAAAGAGAGUGAAAGAGUACGUGAAAUUGUCAUUGGGGGAAGCGUUUGUGUGAUGUUGUUGGUGUGUCCAUUGGCGGAGUCUGUUCAGGCUGCGGCUUGCCGCGGCUGUACUCGGACGGCCCCUGUUUGGUCAGGGGCAGCCGCCACCGGCACGUGUCCUCGGUGCGAAGCUCCGGAGAAGGAUGGAGGCCAUGUGGCCCCGCUCCUUGUGGGUGGGGUGUUAUAGGCCUCGGUCAACACGGAGCACCGGGAGGUGCGUGUCGUCACCGGCACAAGCGACCCGUCUUGAAACACGGACCAAGGAGUCUAACCUUGCUGCGAGUCUGUCAGCAACCCAAAAGCUGGAGGCGCAGUGAAAGCAAUCGUCGGUGCGACCUACUCACGUAGCGCAGCACCCGCCGGUCUCAAGAUCUUUUGAAGGAUCAGGACUGAGCAGGAGCAGCAAGGCUAGGACCCGAUAGAUGGUGAACUAUACGUGGAGAGGGCGAAGCCAGAGGAAACUCUGGUGGAGGCUCGUAGCGAUUCUGACGUGCAAAUCGAUCGCCGCAUCGUGCGUAUAGGGGCGAAAGACUCAUCGAACCAUCUAGUAGCUGGUUCCCUCCGAAGUUUCCCUCAGGAUAGCAGAAGCUUUUAUGAGUUUUAUGAGGUCAAGCGAAUGAUUAGCGGAAUGCGCGCGUCCUCGUGGCGUGUGUGUGUUCUGGGGCUGAAACAGCCUCGACCGCUUCUCAAACUUUGAAUAUGUAAGACUGGAGUCAUGUUUGUUUUAAUGAUUCCUCUGAAUCGUAGCUUCUAGUGGGCCAUUUUUGGUAAGCAGAACUGGCGAUGCGGGAUGAACCGAACGCGCGAGUUACGGUGCCGGAAUGCCCGCUCAUUUUCGAUCCCACAAAAGGUGUUGGUUCAUCUAGACAGCAGGACGGUGGCCAUGGAAGUCGGCAUCCGCUCAGGCGUGUGUAACAACUCACCUGCCGAAUGAACUAGCCCUGAAAAUGGAUGGCGCUGCAGCGGGCUUUUUUGUGAGUGACCUAUACUCGGCCUUCAAACCUGUGUUGUUUGAAGUGUAGGAGGGCGUGGGGGCUGGUUUGGCGUUGAAGCGUGUCUGUAAGGGCGCGUGGAGCAGGCCCCUAGUGCAGAUCUUGGUGGUAGUAGCAAGUAUUCAAUUAAAACGGCGUGGCGAGCCAUCGCCUCGCUGUGCGAUCGUUGAAGACUGAAGUGGGGAAAGGUUCCAUGACAACAGUGCUUGGACAUGGGUGAGUCGAUCCUAAGCGCUUGCGUGACGUGUUUUGACAGGCCUUUUGUUAGGUCUGUGGCGCAAAAGGGGUUCCGGUUCAUAUUCCGGAACACGCACCGCAGCCGAGUGUGUCUGGUCCUGUAUCAGAUGCUCGCAUCGUGGCGACACGGAGUCCGGUCCUGGGGACGUUGGGGGUUCUGUCUGGAAGAGUUUUCUUUUCUUUUUGAGGGCGCGGGGGUAGCGUGGAAGCGACUUGCUCGGAGCGACGCACCCCUUUCCCGCAGAGUUUUCUUUUGGGAGCGAGCCAGCGCCUUCGGUGCUGGCUUGUUCUCAGCCGAGAAUCAGAUGAUGGACCCACGACCCGUGAAAACCCAGGCCCGCGAAUGAGCACAUGGCCGCGUGCGUGUCGUACUGAUCACCGCAGCAGGUCUCCAGGGUGAGCAGCCUCUAGUUGAUAGACCCAUGUAGGUAAGGGAAGUCGGCCAACUGGAUCCGUAACUUUGGGACAAGGAUUGGCUCUUUGUGGGUUGUGGCGGCGGGCGCAAGCCCUCGCCACGCGAUACCCAGACAAAGAACUGGUACGGACACGGGGAAUCUGACUGUCUAAUUAAAACAUAGCAUUGCGAUGCCCUCUACAGGUUUUGACGCAAUGUGAUUUCUGCCCAGUGCUCUGGAUGUCAAGGUGAAGAAAUUCAACGAAGCGCGGGUAAACGGCGGGAGUAACUAUGACUCUCUUAAGGUAGCCAAAUGCCUCGUCAUCUAAUUAGUGACGCGCAUGAAUGGAUGAACGAGAUUCCCACUGUCCCUAUCUACUAUCUAGCGAAACCACAGCCAAGGGAACGGGCUUGGCGGCAUCAGCGGGGAAAGAAGACCCUGUCGAGCUUGACUCUAGUUUGGCCUUGUGAAGGGGCCUGGGGGGUGUAGUCUAAGUGGGAGGCGUGUCAUUUGGGGCGCGUUCGUCUGUGAAAUACCACUACCCCUAUUGCCCCUUUACUUCCGUGUUUAUCUGGGAAUCGGUUAAUAAGCUGUAGCGCCUUCGGGCGUGGCCCACGAUGCGAACAGGGCCAGGUGGGGAGUUUGGCUGGGGCGGCACAUCUGUUAAAAGAUAACGCAGGUGUCCCAAGGGCAACUCAACGAGGACGGAAACCUCGUGUUGAGCAAAAGGGUAAACGUUGCCUUGAUUUGCCUUUUCAGUGCAAAGACAAACCAUGAAAGUGUGGCCUAUCGAUCCUUUAGUCUUUUAUGUGUGUUGAGUGUUUCAACCUAGAGGUGUCAGAAGAGUUACCGUAGGGAUUGUUCAAACAUAUUGUCCCAGGUGGGGAAGGGUGUGGGGCGGAUGCGUUGGGUGCCAGCCCAGCGCCGCCGUCUCGCCCCCUGGAGCCCCGCCUAGUCUGUGCGCGUGUGUAGACGCCGUCAACACGCCGCAGGCAACACACCUGGAUGCGGGGAUGUC
rnacentral:rRNA from 1 species